GCUAGGGGGCCGGGCGCUGUUACCACAAUCCCAUAUAGCAGCUGUAAAACCACUUGCUAGUAGGUCGGAAAUGUAGUAUAGAGGAUUUGGCGUAGGUCAGAAGCGGAGUAAGCAGAUUUGCGUAGGUCGAAAAGUACACCAGCGCAUUUACAGAUAAUCCUGAGCCUGUUCUCUCUAUAGAUAGAUAAUUCAUACGAGAGACAUCUGGCGCCCAAACUAUCGUCCCCUAAAGUACGUGAACUACACGACCACUAUCUGUAGAAUGCCGCAAAUAAUUCGGAGUGUAGAGUACUUCAAUCUUUUUUCAUAAUUAAUAUGACGAUUUCGGUGGAAAGGCAUGGCGAAAUACGACAAGGGAAAAAGCGGGUCUGAGCUUCAAGAGAAGACGACAAAAAUCAGUCUGGCUGUUUUGCCGCGUUCGGCGUUUGUUCUGAGUUCAGUUUUUCUCUCGGCCCGCCAGAAGUCACAUGUCUAGGGGCUUAAAUUUUAUUUCUCGCCUGUUUAAGAUUAGUUUGUGAUAAGAAGUUAGUAAGUGGAUUAAUUGUCGUUCUCAAGAGGUGAAGGGUCAAGAGGUUUAGUCAGAAAAAGAUAUAAAACCAGAUCAGAACUUCUACUUGAAUUGUCCCUACAGAAACAGAAAGGUUAUCAGACUUUACCUUCCUCCUCACCCUCCUCUGGAGCAGAUUUUAUUAUGAAUAAAUAUUUGGAAAGUUGUGAGGGGGUUAAGCAGUUGAUUCCUGGCUGUAGUCGUUUGACAGAGCCUCAACCUAUGAAGGUUGGUGGAGAUGAUGUUGAGGAGUCAAGUGUGCAGGCUGACUUCUCAUAGUUGGGUUACUUUGUUGUAGAGGAUGGGGAGAACCUUGUUCAACUGCCUGGUAAUUUUAUCCCCUUUGUGGAAAUGAAGAAUACUACUCAAGGAUGAUAAGCAAAAUCUUGCAUUCGGUGGGAGAAAUUGUUGGCAAACCUGUAACAAUGGAGGAAGUGUGUGAUGUCAGAGCACACUGGAAGACCCUCACAGACCUUGGAUCCGGAAAAACUUUUACUGAAGAUUUCAACUGUGAAAAAGUUUCCUUGUAAGUAUUAAAAAAAAUUAUUUACAUUUUCAGCAUUUCUUCAUUUGAUUAGUUUUCUUAAUCUGUGUGCUCCAUACUCAGACCGUUACCGCGUAAUUUUUUUUUACCAAUUUUAAUAUGCUUUAAAAUUCAAAUAACA